GAUGAACGCUGGCGGCGUGCCUAAUACAUGCAAGUCGAGCGAACGGACGAUAAGCUUGCUUUUCUGCUGUUAGCGGCUGACGGGUGAGUAACGCGUGGAUCACCUACCUCUAUUACUGGGAUAACUUCGUGACACCGGUGCUACUACCGGAUAAUAUUUUGCACCGCAUGGUUCAAAAGUGAAUCACGGCCUUGCUGUCUCUUAUAGCUGAAUCCGCGCUGAAUUAGCUAGUUGGUAAGGUAACGGCUUACCAAGGCAACGAUGCAUAGCUGAACUGAGAGGAUGAUCGGCCACACUGGAACUGAGACACGGUCCAGACUCCUACGGGAGGCAGCAGUGGGGAAUAUUCGGCAAUGGGCGAAAGCCUGACGGAGCAAUGCCGCGUGGGUGAUGAAGGCCUUCGGAUCGUAAAGCCCUUUUGUUGGGGAAGAAAAGAAGUAGAAUAAAACGUGGAUAUCUUGACGGUACCGAAUAAAAAAGCACCGGCUAACUACGUG
rnacentral:rRNA from 1 species